rnacentral:rRNA from 1 species
AGCAGCCGCGGUAAUUCCAGCUCCAAUAGCGUAUAUUAAAGUUGUUGCAGUUAAAAAGCUCGUAGUUGAAUUUCGGGGUUCUACCGUUGGUCAGGCUAUUGUCUGUACUGGUGUGUAGAAUUUCUACCUUCUGGGGAACUAUCAUGUUAUUAAUUUAGCGUGGUAGGAAACCAGGACCUUUACCUUGAAAAAAUUAGGGUGUUCAAAGCAGGCUUAUGUCUGAAUACAUUAGCAUGGAAUAAUAAAAUAGGACGGUGGUUCUGUUUUGUUGGUUUCUGAAUCACCGUAAUGAUUAAUAGGGAUAGUUGGGGGCAUUAGUAUUCAAUUGUCAGAGGUGAAAUUCUUGGAUUUAU